rnacentral:miRNA from 1 species
UUUUCUCCUUCCCCCCGGAGUU